rnacentral:rRNA from 1 species
GACGUAGGGCGCGAGCGUUGUCCGGAUUUAUUGGGCGUAAAGAGCUCGUAGGCGGCUUGUUGCGUCGUCCGUGAAAACCUGUGGCUCAACCACAGGCUUGCGGUCGAUACGGGCGGGCUGGAGUUCGGUAGGGGAGACUGGAAUUCCUGGUGUAGCGGUGAAAUGCGCAGAUAUCGGGAAGAACACCCGUGGCGAAGGCGGCUCGCUGGGACGUUACUGACGCUGAGACGCGAAAGCGUGGGGAGCAAACAGG